CCUACGGGAGGCAGCAGUGGGGAAUAUUGCACAAUGGGCGAAAGCCUGAUGGAGCAACGCCGCGUGCAGGAUGAAGGCCUUCGGGUUGUAAACUGCUUUUAUAAGCGAGAAGUAUGAUGGUAACUUAUGAAUAAGGAUCGGCUAACUACGUGCCAGCAGCCGCGGUCAUACGGAGGAUCCGAGAAUUAUCCGGAGUGAAUGGGUGUAAAGAGUUGCGUAGGUGGCAUAAUAAGUAGCUAGUGAAAUCUUGUGGCUCAACCAUUCAGACUAUUAGCUAAACUGUUAAGCUCGAGACCGUGAGGGGUAACUGGAAUUUCUAGUGUAGGAGUGAAAUGCGUAGAUAUUAGAAGGAACACCAGUAGCGUAGGCAGGUUGCUGGGACGGUUCUGACACUAAGGCACGAAAGCGUAGGGAGCAAACGGGAUUAGAUACCCCAGUAGUC
rnacentral:rRNA from 1 species